rnacentral:rRNA from 1 species
CCUACGGGUGGCAGCAGUGAGGAAUAUUGGUCAAUGGGCGAGAGCCUGAACCAGCCAAGUCGCGUGAAGGAUGACGGCCCUACGGGUUGUAAACUUCUUUUGUCAGGGAGCAAUUGGGUCCACGCGUGGGCUUAGCGAGAGUACCUGAAGAAAAAGCAUCGGCUAACUCCGUGCCAGCAGCCGCGGUAAUACGGAGGAUGCGAGCGUUAUCCGGAUUUAUUGGGUUUAAAGGGUGCGCAGGCGGGCUGUUAAGCCGGCGGUACAAAUUCAGGGCUCAACCCUGUCGAGCCGUCGGAACUGGCAGUCUUGAGUGGGCGAGAAGUAUGCGGAAUGCGUGGUGUAGCGGUGAAAUGCAUAGAUAUCACGCAGAACGCCGAUUGCGAAGGCAGCAUACCGGCGCCCAACUGACGCUGAGGCACGAAAGCGUGGGGAUCGAACAGGAUUAGAUACCCUAGUAGUC